ACUUAGGUAGUUUAAUUUAAAAUAUCGAUUUGUGGUGUCGGGGAUAUAUAAAAGUGUCUUAGGUU
rnacentral:tRNA from 1 species